GGUUAAGUUAAUAAGGGCGCACGGUGGAUGCCUUGGCACUAGAAGCCGAUGAAGGACGUGACAAACGACGAAAUGCUUUGGGGAGCUGUAAGUGAGCUUUGAUCCAGAGAUGUCCGAAUGGGGAAACCCGG
rnacentral:rRNA from 1 species